UUUUCACAUGGUUGGUUUUUCAAGCAGAAAAUAACGGCACAGAUAUUCAGCCUACAUCGCCGUCAUGAUCACUGGUGAACCCAUCUCCUCUAAAUUGAAGGUGCUGUAAGGAGUGAGGUGCCCUUCCCUGAUAGGAGAAAAAACACCUAAACAAGGUAUAACCAUAUGGAACUAAUAAAUCCAUGAAGACCGAUCCCGUAGUGAUGCCCCCAGUCCCCCGCCCAGGUCCAGGCAUGAUAAAAGAGUACAGCGCAGUGAUCUCAGCACAUGACAGGCACGAUGCAGUGACUGAGACUGGGAGAUGCAGUGACUGAGACUGUGUUCCAGAAAAAUGUCCUGAAACUACUGGUCGACAUCCGCCAUCGCCAGA